CCCUGCACUCCACAGCAAGCCGCACUCCACAGCAACCUCUGCCUCCACUGCCGCCCACAGCCUCUGUUUUCUGCCAUUAACAACCCCGUCCACGGCCAGGGCCAAAAACUAGUCCAAUUUGACUGGUUUCUCUAAUCCUUCGUGAUUUCUGGAACCACUCGAUGUUUCCGAAUCAUCUACAAUUGAAGAAAUUGAUCUUCCGGACAUUUGAAGGCUGUUUUCUGGAAUAUGUGAUGCUGUUUCUUGUGAUUUGUAAAGCUGGACUUGUGAAGCUGUGCUUUUUCUUGUGAUUUCUGAAGGGGUUGUACUUUUUCUUGUCAGGUGUUUGAAGUUGGACAAUUUUUAAGCUAUGUAGCAGUGUUUUACAUGGUUAUUUAGUUGUAGUUUGUGCGUUUAUUUGGCUGGACAAAACCUGUUAUGGUAUAUUGGCUCUUAUGAAUGUUGUCUCAUAUGGAAUUAGACUGUAGUUUGUGUAUUUGUUGACUGCAGUCCCUGGAGUUUGUGUUGUAUGGAUCAUGGAUGUUAUGGUCUUAUUUGUCUUGGAUGAAAUGUGGUUAGAGUUUGUGUAUUGUUGAAUGUGAAUGGCAUUGGUUGCCAAUCCUAAUAUUUUUUGUUGA